rnacentral:rRNA from 1 species
GGCGGCAGGCCUAACACAUNCAAGUCGAGCGGUAGAGAGAAGCUGGCUUCUCUGGAGAGCGGCGGACGGGUGAGUAAUACCUAGGAUCUGCCUGAUAGNGGGGAUAACGUUCGGAAACGGACGCUAAUACCGCAUACGUUCUACGAGAGAAAGCAGGGGACCUUCGGGCCUUGCGCUAUCAGAUGAGCCUAGGUCGGAUUAGCUAGUUGGUGAGGUAAUGGCUCACCAAGGCUACGAUCCGUAACUGGUCUGAGAGGAUGAUCAGUCACGCUGGAACUGAGACACGGUCCAGACUCCUACGGGAGGCAGCAGUGGGGAAUAUUGGACAAUGGGCGAAAGCCUGAUCCAGCCAUGCCGCGUGUGUGAAGAAGGUCUUCGGAUUGUAAAGCACUUUAAGUUGGGAGGAAGGGCAGUUACCUAAUACGUGAUUGUCUUGACGUUACCGACAGAAUAAGCACCGGCUAACUCUGUGCCAGCAGCCGCGGUAAUACAGAGGGUGCAAGCGUUAAUCGGAAUU